rnacentral:misc_RNA from 1 species
AAAAAAAACCUAUAUCUAAAAAUAAACUGUAUGUAAGCUGUGUGAUUCUUGUUUAACGACAAAAACAUGCUUACCCGUGGACAUCUUUGGAUCGGGCUAACAGCUGUGCUUAGACUACCGGCGUUUUUUAUUUUGGAGAAAUGGUUUCUGUCCACUCCAGGAGACGUUUGGUACGAAGUGCUCGCAUCAACAAUAGUAUUACGCGAUGCAGUCUGCUGAGACAAACCUCUUCCAGGUGGACUGGGGGACAAUUUCAUCUCUCUGUGUCAGUAAUUGCUGCAAGACUUAUGUAGGUCUCAUAGCGACGAGUGUUGCAGCGGCAUAUGCUUCCUGUUUUGUGAGAUCUCUGCUCAUCUUUGUGAUAACAGAUGUGAUAACAGAUGUUAUGUAAUCUUGAUAAUCUAUACUUAUAAAUUAAGACAUUUUGCUAAUAAAUUACGAACUGCCUGCACCAGAGUAACUGCUUACACCUUUGAAAUUUCAACACGUGUGAGAUGAUGUCCGUAAGCUUUAACUGAAUUUUACAUGAUAAGUAUUUAUUAUGAAAUUAUCAAAAACCUACUUUCAUUUUCGAUAUCAUAGCCUGAAAUAGCAAAAAUGAGAGUAAAGUGGUGGAUACGCAUUGGCGGAUCUAAGUCAGUGGGUGUUUGCAUCAAAAUAUAUACUUGCAGUGAAAUGAUAUUGAAUUACUACGUAAGAAAGAAUAAAUAUACCGGGAAUAUAUUUACCGGUAAUUUUUAUAUAAUACGACAUUUGACAUAUGUUGAAUAAAUAAUCAAAAUGAGCCAAUUCGUUUCUUGAAUGUGCGAUUUUAGUUUUGAUAGAAAGAACUUUCCAGAACGGGGUAACCAUGAACGCGGGUUGACUAAUUGACACAAUGGCGGGAAACGUAUAGGGCAAGUUUGAUAAAUUGCAAUAAAUAUGCACGCACUCUCGUGUUUAGAUUACACGCAUUUUUAUGUCAAUGACAGAAAUGGAAUUAGCAUUAAAUAUUUUAUUAAAAAUUGUAAACCGUGAACAGAGUGUUCACAACUUUACGUCUUUAUGAAUAAAUUGUGUACGGAUAAAACGGAGAGGAUAUCGGGGAAAGGGGGAAUGAAUUUCUGUUUAUAUAUUCAUCCCCGCCCACUCCUCUUAGGAUCCAGCCACCAAUUCCAAAAAAUAGGUUAAAAAAUCAAGAAAAUAAUUUGCACAAAGUACAUAAAAAUAACCAAAGAAAUUUGUUUAAAUAAGGUUAUCAAUUAAUCAUGCUAAGUUGUGUUCACAUUUCCUGUCUUCUGUGACUUGUAUUUAGCUUUAAAAUUGUGCACUUAUUUAUCUCUGAUAUCUUAUAUCUGUUUACAUAGUAUUUUAUCUGAGGUAUUGUUUUGCUGUUGACGUAAAAUUACGAAUAAAUUUGGGA